AUCAAUUGUAUAUCUAAUAUUUUCGUUUCAUUUUCAAUUGCAAGCCUUUAAUUUUAAGCAGCCUGAAAAUAGGGACCCUAACUUUUUGUUUGUUUUCUGAGAAAGUAAAAUAGAACAUCCAAAAAAAAUGGUUCCGAGAGCUCUUCCCACAUCAUGGGAAUAUAAACAUAAAUAUAUAAAAAGUGAAAUAAGAUUCACAAGGGGCUCCAAACAGCCAAGCUGAUGAAAAUUAACAUUUUCUGUCCCUGUUUCCAUUUUUUUUUUUCCUACACUCAUUUGUUUGGAUUCUAGAAUUUUAUCAGCAGAGAACUGAUGAUUAAGUUAAUGAUUUUGCAAAGAGACGGGAUUGGAGACAAGACCGAUUAGCCGGUAUGCUCAUCGAGUAGGCCAAGAGGAUGGGGAUGUGAUUUACGAAUCAGAAUUUGUGAUUCCUGGUGACUUUGGGGAGAUUGGUGCGGUUCUAGUUCAGAAUGAAUACCGCAGCGAGAUGUUCCUCAAGUAUAUUGUCCUCAAUGGCCUCCCCAAUGGCCCUAUUGCAUUCAACUGCGGUUCAUGGGUUCAGUCAAAGUUUGAUGAUCCUGAGAAGAGGAUCUUUUUCAGCAACAAGGUUAGCCACCAUCUUCUACACCUCUCAUCAUCUCUAAGCAUAUCAAUGCUUGAUUAUUUGCGUAGGAUUAACUAAGUUCAGCCAUGCAUUAUGGAUUUUAUGAUUUUUUUUUUUUUUUUAAUUUGAAAAAUUAAUGUAAUUUUAAAAAAAAAAAAAAACGAAGAUAUUGAUGCCAUUGGUUUGUCCCAUUAAUCUAAUUGAAUAUAUAUGGUUGUAGAGAUGUCACUUCAUUCCCAUUAAAUGUCCACGUGCCGCAUGCCUUGACUUUUCUACAUCUAUUACAAGAAGCCUAACUAUUUGAUUGGACAAACAUUUCGAGGCUACUUUAUUUUAUUUUAUUUUUUAAGAUAAUGUUCAAUAUUUAUUAGUUUUUUUUCAUACAAUAAGAUGUAUAAAUUUAAAUUUAUUUUUUAUUUCUCUUCACCUCUUUUCUUUUUUUUCUUUUUUUUCUUUUUCAUAUUUUCGGACACAUUUUUCAAACCAAACAUAACAGCAAUAGAUUGGUCUUCAUCAUCCAUAGUAAAUAGCUUUAGCCAAUGAAUUCAAUCAACCAUAUAUGAAAAUCUCUUUUGGGUUCAUUGACAUUAAGAGAAGAUGACUUUUAAAAAUGACGCAAGAGAAUGGUCGACAACUUACCUACUUCUAUUGCGUGGAGCAAAAGCAAAUGAAAUUCUUUCGUGGGUUUUUUUAUUUGCUUCCAAAAUUAAUUUAAUUUCUUCAUAAAUAUAAUAUAGGGAAGUUGAAUGGUCAAUUUAACAUGAAAACCAAUUGCCACCCAAUAAAGGAAGUCAAGCCUAUUAAGGUAUUCAACACCACAUGAAAGUAGCCGAAGAGUCUGUUGCAUCGGGGCAUUAUGUUGAUGUGACCGAUUCUGGCUUGGUUCCUUUUCUUUCAUUUAAAUUUUUACAGACUGACUAUUGAAGGAUGGGAGGGAUAACUUGACAAAAUUUCAUGGAAUAUGAUGUUAGAUUUGAAGGAUUAAGAUGCCACCACUCUUUUGCUUAUGCUAGAUGUUAAAAUUACAAAGCAAUUAAUACAUAAAAUAACAUAAUUCUUUUAAAAUUUUUAAAAUAAUAAAAAUAAAAAAAAAAGUAAAAUAAUAUAAUAUUCUUUAAAACUAACAAAUAAUUCAAUCAAUAUCUUUACAUUUAAAUAUUAUAUAUAUUUUAUUUAAUAAAAUAUUUAAAUAUUAGUACAUCUAUAUAUUUAAUUUGAUCAUAUUAGAGAUGUAAAAAAUAAAUAACAUUAGUUUUUGAUUCCUUUAUAUGUGAUUAAUUAAUAUUUUUAUAAAUAUUUUAAAUUUUAAUAAUAUAUAAAUUAUUAAAUUGUAAAUUUAUGAGAUUAUCAAUUCAAUCACACUUCGACCACUAAUCCGACUAUUAAAUCAUGAUAGGUUUUUUUUUUUUUUUUUUUUUUUGUUCAAUUGCAUCAUUGCAACCUCAAUAGCUUAAUUCCAUGAAAAAGAUUCAGAUGCAUGUGUCCAAGAUGGGAAGCUGCUAAAUGACUCUUCAUAGGCAUCCUAAAACUUGAAGAAUGAGGAUGAUUCCAAUUUGCAACACCAGAUUAAAGCUUUCACUUCAAUGACAUUUUUGUGUUGUAUUAAAAAAUGACUUUGAAUCAUGAUAGACCAUAACUUGAUAUCAUCAAUAUUGAGAGCCUCAUUCAUCCUAGCGAGUUAUUUUGAUUUCUAAACCUUACUCAUCUUUUUUUUGUAUCAAACAGUCAUAUUUACCAUCACAAACGCCCAGAGGCCUCAAGGAUUUGAGAGAAAAAGAACUUGCAAAUUUGCGAGGUAACGGUGAAGGAGAACGCAAGACCUCCGAUAGAAUAUAUGAUUAUGAUGUUUAUAAUGAUCUGGGUAACCCUGAUAGCAAGUCUGAAUUGGGGCGAUCGGUACUAGGUGGCAAUGAAAAUUAUCCAUAUCCUAGACGAUGCAGAACUGGACGUGCACCAUGUCAGACUGGUAUGCAAAUUACAAUUAAACUUAUUUAUUUUUAGAAACUAGAAUCUAUCGUAUAAUAAUAAAUUGCAAUCAAAUUUGUUAAAUGGUGUAAGAAAUUUACAAGAAAAGAGUACAAAUUGAUAAUAAUAAUGAUGAUGAUGACGAAACAUUCCAUAUGUAGAAAUUGCAUAUGGUGGAAGCUCUUACACUUGAUAUGCUAUUAAUCGCAUUAAAAGGCUGACAUGGUUCGGUAAAUCAUUUCUAUGUCCAUGGAUAUGAGAAGAGAAAUCAGAUAGACAUAUCAUCCAAACUAUUAAUCACUCUCUUUCAUCAAUUAAUUAAGCAAUUUCCAUGAUGCAUGCAGAUCCUCUUUCGGAGACAAGGAGUGGCAGCUUCUAUGUGCCAAGGGAUGAAGAAUUUUCUGAGGUGAAGGAGGCAUCAUUCCUAACAAAGACAGUAGACUCGGUGUUGCAUGCUUUAAAACCGUCCCUAGAGACAUCCCUACUUGACAGUAAUCUUGGAUUUCCACUCUUCUCAGAUAUAGACCAAUUAUACUAUCAAGGAAUCACCAUUCCUAAGCUUAAAAAUCCAGGGCUUUUGCAACGUAUACUGCCCAGACUAGUGAAGGCCGUUUCUGAUGCUAAAGAUCGUCUCCUGAAAUUUGAAACCCCUGCAAUGUUUCUCAGUAAGAAAAAACCUUCACACACCUCCUCUAUUCUUUAUCACUAGCUAAAGUAUUUUUGCAUUUGCAGAGGACAAGUUUUCUUGGCUACGGGAUGAGGAAUUCUCACGCCAAACUCUUGCUGGUGUUAACCCGUAUAGUAUAAAGUUGGUUAUGGUAUGAUGAACAACUUUCCAUGCAUGAUCAUGUAUUAGUACUAGGAAGCAGUGAACAUUAAUAAGAUUGCGUGAGAAUGGUACUUCAUGCUAAUUAAGUUGUAUAAAAUCAUGCAGGAAUGGCCGUUGAAAAGCGCAUUGGAUCCUGAUGUCUACGGUCCACCUGAAUCGGCAAUCACCAAAGAGUUGGUCGAGCGGGGGAUAAAAGGCUUCAUGACAGUAGACGAAGUACGUACCUUUCCUCUCUCUUUCUUCCUCCCCUCCAUCAAUCUCCCAAGAAUUAAGUUGUCUAAAUUUGGGAACAUGAACGCAGGCAUUAGAACAGAAGAAACUAUUCAUCAUAGAUUACCAUGACUUGUUAUUACCAUAUGUGAGCAAAGUAAGGCAGAUCGAAGGGACAACACUAUAUGGCUCCAGGGCACUUUUCUUCCUAACCCCUGAUUGCACCUUGAAGCCUCUAGCCAUUGAGCUCACUCGCCCACCGAUGGAUGGAAAGCCACAGUGGAAGCAAGUUUUCACGCCCGGCUUGGAAGCUACAGAUCACUGGCUUUGGAAGUUUGCCAAAACCCAUUUCCUUGCUCAUGACUCCGGUUAUCAUGAGCUUGUUAGUCACUGGUACAUGUCAUUGCCCCGUUUCCCUUUCUAAUGCGAAAUCAUUUCUGAGAAGCAGUUUGACAAUACAGGAACUUAACAACUGCUUUGCUCAUUUUGCAGGUUAAGAACUCACUGUGCAACAGAACCUUACGUGAUUGCAACAAAUCGGCAACUCAGUGUGAUGCACCCAAUCUAUAAACUAUUACAUCCUCAUUUACGCUAUACAAUGCAGAUCAAUGCUCUUGCUAGAGAAGUUCUCAUCAAUGCGGAUGGGAUCAUUGAGACUUCAUUCUCAACCCGCAAGUAUUCUAUGGAGCUCAGCUCUGCCGCUUAUGACCAGCAGUGGCGGUUUGAUAGGGAAGCCCUGCCAGCAGACCUAAUAAACAGGUAUUCUGAUAACCAUAAUAAUGGAUGAUGUAAUUCAAAACUCCCAUAGAUGCUUCUUACUGAAAUUCUACAAAACCAAAGAUCAUUUAUUCCACAUUUUGUUUUCUAUCUCAUAAUAAGUUCCUUCAUACCUCUUUUUAAAUGAUAAAUUAUGGCUUAGUGAAGUGUAGAGGGCUAAUAAAAAAAUAGUUGCUGAAUUUCCACUUGCUAACUUUUUGUGGUUUCGUAAUUGCUAGGGGAAUUGCUGUUGAGGAUCCAAGUGCUUCCCAUGGCCUAAAGCUACUGAUCGAAGACUAUCCUUUUGCCAACGACGGUCUCAUAUUAUGGGAUGCCUUGAAACAAUGGGUUGCAGACUAUGUCAAUUACUACUACAAGGACGCGAGCAUGGUACAGUCUGAUCCAGAGCUCCAAGCAUGGUGGACAGAAAUCCGAACCAAAGGUCAUGAGGAUAAAAAAGAUGAACCAUGGUGGCCAGUCCUCCAAACACCAGAAGACCUCAUUGGAAUUAUCGCAACAAUAGCUUGGGUGGCCUCCGCUCAUCAUUCAGCCGUCAAUUUUGGACAAUAUGCUUUUGCUGCUUACUUCCCCAAUAGGCCUACCAUUGCUAGAACCAAUAUGCCCUCUGAGGACCCAACAAGAGAAGGAUGGAAACGAUUUUUGGACAAUCCCCAUUUUGAGCUCUUGGUAUGCUUCCCUUCACAGGUUCAAGCAACAAAAGUUAUAGCUAUUUUAGAUGUGCUAUCCAAUCAUUCUCCGGAUGAGGAGUAUAUAGGGGAAUAUAUGGAGCCAGCAUGGGGUGAAGAACCAGAUAUAAAGGAAGCAUUUGAAAGGUUUUCUGCGAGGUUAAAGGAACUCGAAGUAAUUAUUGAUGCUAGGAAUGCAGACAAUAGUUUGAAGAACAGAGGCGGAGCUGGGGUGGUUCCAUAUGAGCUCUUGAAGCCAUUUUCUGAAGCUGGGGUGACAGGAAAGGGAGUUCCUUACAGCAUCUCCAUCUGAGGUAGCUUUAGGAGUGAAGCUUCAAGUUCAUUGCAUGGCAGAGAUAACAUAAUAAUUGAUGUAAAAAGUGAAAAAAUGAAAUUUUUUCAUGGAAAAGGUUUCUUCUCUUCAUGAAGUAACCAAAACCCUAGACUAAUGAGCCUAGGCUAUGACUUUUUUUUCCUGUACCCAAUAAAAAACUGCCACGUAACAGAAAAGGUUUUUUUAUUUCAAUCUUAGCAAAGAUUUCAUUUCUUUAUAAUCAUAUCUCAAUUCUUUAUUUUCGGUCCAUUUCAUUUGAAAUCCACUACCUUACAUUCAAGGUCACACCCUAUAUAUACAAGGAAAAACAACCACUCCACUGACCCAUAACUUGGAGUUAGGGAUGGUAUCGCAGCUCACCAACAUUUUGUACCUUUAAUUAUCAACACUUUAUACCCUCAUUCAACCAUCUAUAUUUAAAUUAUAGAGCUUUAUUUUUACUUUUAUUUUUCCUUAAGGUCCGCAUUGAAAUCAAUCCAAAAUAAAUAUUCUUGGCUAUAUAGGAAGUAUGGAUGGUAACCAUAUAACCCUAUCGAAAAGGAUAAACAAUAGCCUCUCUUACACAGCCACCAACAUGUCUUUGCCCCCUUGUAGUUGUUGGAAAGUAAACUUGAAUAUAGGAUGUCUCUAAAAAAUAAAAUAGAAUUUGAUUUAGUUAAAUUUUAUAUUGAAAUAAUUGAGUCUUUCUAGAUUUGAUACUUUUUAUUAGGAGUUUUUAUUUUGUUAGAUAUGGGAAUAAAUAAGAGAUUUGUAAUAGUUAAAUGAGAAUGGUACGUAGGAGAUAAUAAAUUAUUCUUAAUUUUUCUCAAUUAUUUAUCUUUUUUAUAUUAUUUAAUUGUAAAUUUCACUUUAUUACUCCAAUGAAUCGGUAUAUUUAAAGAUAAUUAGAAUAAUUGAAGUACAAAUUAACUUAUUGAGGAGGAACUCAAAAAUUCCAAUGAUGGAUUUUUAUUAGAAUAAAACCCUUGAAAGCAUAUAUAACAUGAUUAUAACAUAAUAAAAUUUCAUUAAUAUAAAUUUAUUAUGAUUUUUUAUUUCUCUUUUAUCCUUGAUUGCAUUAUUUAUUAUUUGAGCAUUCACAUCUAUAUUUCUUCCCUCGUACAUAACUUUGGUGCAAUAGAAGUUAUAUAAAAGAUCCAAGUUAUAGAUUUCUUACGAUAUAAUAAGUAGUUCAUAGUUGAUUCAUGGAAUUAAAUAAUUCAUCAGAGACUAUAUAGUACACUACCUUUUAAUUCGAUGGAUGACUUAUCUUGGUCAUCAUAAUGGUUUUAUCAUAACAAAUACACUAAUGUGUGGUCAUACAUUAAACGGAACUUACAAUGAAUUAUGAUAUUUACUAUCAAAUAAUCAUAAUUUAUUAAACUACUAUAUCGUAUAGGUUCUCAACCUUAAGAGAAUAUCAAGAUAAUGAUGAGUUCUUCAAUGGUUUUGACUUAUAAGUGAGAUCUUAAGAUAGCCAUAUAUUCCCUACAAAUUAAUCAAGGCAAGUUGUAAUAGAUAUUAUUAAGAUAGACACCAUGAUAUAUAUCUCAUGAGAUUAAGAGAACAUGUCCCCUUGGGUGAUUUUAAGAAUAUGUGAUCAUGAAAUCUAUAACUAUAAUAAUUUUUUAUGUGAAAUUUGACAUAUACUCUUAAAGAGUUAAAGUAUCUUAAUUGAGCAUAUAAUAUGAGAAUAUGACACUUAAGAGAAGUUGAUAACAUUUAUAUCGUUAGAUUAUAAACACAAUUCAUAAGGAGCUUACAUGUAGUCAUUAGUAAGACAUCGACCUGAACUUUAUAUCUUGAUUUAAUAUCAUAGGAUAUUGAAAUGUGAUUAACUCUCUAUAGUAGAAUAUUGAAUCAAUUUUAAAAUUGGAAUCUAAAAAAAACAAUAUUUUCUUAUGGGUCAUAAUAGUUCCUACUUAAACUUACAUUUCUUGGUGGUACAGUUUUUGAGGAAUAUUUGGGUUCCUUAUUUAUGUGUGCUUAUAAUAUGACUCAUUUUGUCUUCCAAAAGGGCAAAACCCUAACCUUCAUCCCUAAGUGAGAAUUUCACCAUUCUCAAGUGUUAAGUACCAAUAAAAAGUUGUAAGGCAAAAGAUCAAGAUGUUUUUGAGAUCUAUACCAUCCUCUUUUGCAAAUGGAACUAAUCUAAGAACAUCAAUGUGAAAAGUAAAAUUUUUAUAGCCUUAAAUCUACAAUUUUGUCUUAUUAUUGCUUCCAUUGCAUAAAUCUGGUGUCCCUAGAUAUUUAUAAAGCAUUUAUCUCUCAUCUUGAAGCAUCCCAACAACUUUCCAUCUUGAUUGAUUAAGGUGGAAGUUGAUUAGACAUGCAUCUAUGACCAUGUCUUCUUGUGGCAGGUAAUGAACACCCUAUAUCUCCAUAAUUUGGCAAUUGUUCUACUAUUAGGGGGCACACCACAUGCUAGUAGAAUUUUGCAAAUCAAUUCGACGUUCCUGUAGUCAAUGAUGAAUAGAAAUGGCAAUUGGGCGGGUUUGGGACGGGUCACCCCUAUCCCAUUCCCGUCCCAAAAUAUUUGGUUAUUUCCCAUCUCGUCCCAAACCCGGGGCGGGGUGGGGUAUGCACUCCCUUCCCCGUUAUAAAGUUAAAAUUAAAAUCUCAUCCCCGGCCUGACCUGACUCGGGUAUGUGUCAUUGGGGCAGGACGGGGCAGGGCGAGAUAGGACGGGGCGGGGCGGGGCAUGAGUUAUUGAUGAAAACACAGUUGUAAAAUAUCUUUCUUUAACAAGAACAAUUGUAAAUCAUUUGAAGAUACCAGUUAACACCAAUGUCCUCGAUGUUACAAAUGCACCUACUACAAAGACAAUGAACAACCCAGUAACAAUAAGGAGCUACAAAGCAAGUAAAUUGCCAAUAAAAGGCUUGAUGAUGAUGAACAAAAAACUGAAUGCCCAUUAUAAGCUAUUCAAAUCCAAAUUAUUUCUGGAAGCAAGUUCAAGGAAUAAUUCUUCUUAAAGAAUUUUAGAAGAUUCUAAAUAUUGGAGUCAUUGUGAAUUUAAAAAAUAAUAUAUAUAUUUUUUCUAAGGUUAUGUGCCCAAUCACUUAAUUUCUGGACUAGUUGCAUGCAAUAACAAAUCACAUUGAAAUCAUACAACUUGAAAUCAUUUAUAUGAUCAUUAUAAAUUAUUCUUCAAUAAAAUUGCUUCUGAAAACAUUGAGAAACCAUGCUUCUUGAACAUGAUUUGAUGUUGCUAGUGUUCCUCGAUGACUUUUAGGUGUUAUUUCAACAAUGAACAUUGGUAUCUGGUCAUACAAAGAAAGAGAGAAAGGUUUAAAGUUUACUAAUUUACAUAUUUAUCAGAACUACAUAUCCAAUAAGAGAUGUUACACAAAAAAGCAUACCACAUAAGAAAGAACACCAAUACCAUAUCCUAGUAAAAAUUUGCCAAAAUCAAGAGAAACAGAUCCCUAUAUUGAAACCACUAGAGGGUUAAAUAUGCAUAAUAGUAUACAUAAAUAUAUCAAAAUUAUAAUUGAAAAGUGGACAUAACCUACAAAAGAUAAGUAGACUGUGAUCCAUCCUGCAAUACACACCAUGGAUGACAUUCUCAUGGCCUGAUUCCACCUACAAAGAAAUCAAGUUGUGAGAAAAGGUUUGUGCAGUAAUAAAUACCCAAAUAUGAGUGAUCUUGAUAGAGUAUCCUCUAAUCUUACCCCUUUUCGACCAAUGGAAUCAGCAAUCCACCCACUUGAAAUGGCAUCGAUCAUUGCACCAAUGGACAAUAUGGAUCCAAAAAUUGAGUACUGCAAUUGAUAUAAUUUCCCAUCAAACAUGAUAUUGAAAUUGGUGAAAUUUAUCACUGAUAACAAACACUUCGGCUUUUGGUCCAUUGCAGACUAAGUUGUUUAUGCACUAUGAUAUCAUGCAUAAUGAGGUAUGAAUUUAUCUAGAUAUAACAAUGACCAAAAAUGUUAUGAAGGCUCAAUUAUGAAGUUUUGAAUAAGAUAAGAGUUAAAAGUAGACCUGUGAGUAAGACAAUCUAAGCUUAUUCAUUAUGCCAUACUAGGCAGGUGCAGAGUGUCCUGCUUGCAUAGCCAGAAGCUUAUAAGCACUAAAAUAACAAAGUCCCACCUUUGCCAAUGGAAAAUCAUAUCAAGAAAAGAAAGAACAUAAACAGGUUCAGUGUUUUUCAUAAGAGGAAAAUUAAAAUACUAGAUACAAAGAGAAAGACAAACAGUUUAAAGAAUAAUAUAUUUUGACACCAACCAAAUGUAUAAUUCAUUGUGCAGCAAACAUCAUUGCAAUGACAAGCCACUAGAAUUAUUUUCUGAAAUAUGCAUUUCGUAACACAAAAAAUAGCCUACAACAUCAACUGUUUACCCAAUUCAUGAGUCUCAUCAAAUCAGAUAAUAUUAUGGCCAUUGAUUUCUGAAUAUGGCUAGUAGAAUGCUUUUUCAUAUUCUUUCAAGUUCAUUGACUCAGGAAAUCACGUUCAAACCAAAUGAGACAAGGACACCAUUGGAAGAAAUCUCAAUACUUACACAUGACCCAAAUUCGAAAGAGCCACAAACAACAACAAAUAUACUAAGAAGAACCAUCCAUAGACCACCAUUGUUUCCUGUCGCUUCCCAUGACUAUUGAAGGGGAUAUUUUCCAUUAGAUUCUUCCAGCUAAAGAUCACAAAAUUGAGAGCGAAUUAAUGGCUUGGCAAUGAUUAAUAAAACAAGUAUAGGUAAUGGGUGUGGAGACUGGUGAAAAGUAGCAACAAUGCAGGCCAAAAGAUCCCAUAAGAAUGAAAGUAGGACAAUUCAUGCAAUAAAUCAUUUUUAGAAUGAAGCAAAUUCCUAAAUCCCCUUUAACCAAGCUGGGCUUAGAAGGCCUGUUAAUGGCCUUUGGACUAGACUGACCAGAUCCACUUCCCAUAACACAGGAUUUCAAUCUGAAAUCAAAGACUUGGUUCAUUUGAGAAUUUGUACCUUCAUUCUCAGGGCAUUGUUAGCUUCAAUUAGCAUAUGUUCCUACACUCACAAUUUCUUAUCAAGGAGUCUACCUUACAAGUCUUGAACUUGAUUGUAAAGCAAGCGGUUCUUAGUUACAACCAUGGUAAUCAACACCAUAUAAGACAUCCCAAAAUACAACAUCCAAAAUUAAAAAAUAUCCAUAAGCUUAACAACAUUGAAAAAAAAAAAAACAUUACAAAGAAAUUGUUAGCAAAAUAUAUAUAUAUAUAUAUAUAUAUAUAUAUAUAUAUAUAUAUAUAUAUAUAUGUCUCUAAUAUCAUCUUAAGUAAAAAAUCUAAAGCACAAGUAAAUCAUCAUUUUCAUCCAUCAUUGUGAGUUGGAGUUGUGGGUCAUGAAUUGAUGAAUCACCUAGUAAAAAGAAAGCACCAAAAAAAAUUAGAAAACUUUACUAAAUAUUUUAAUAUAAAACAAUUCAUAAAAUUGAUAAUUAGGUAAAUUGGUUACCUUCUUUUUCCUUCCAUAACCAACUUUGAACACACAUUAAGGCCUCCAAAGUAUCUGGAUGAAGCCUACUACGAUGUUUUGAUACCACCCUACCACCCGUGCUAAUGGCUGACUCAGAUGCAACUGUAGAUACCGAAAUAGCAUAGAUAUCACGAACAAUCAUCUGCAAAGUCAGAUACUUAUUACCAUUUGUCUUCCACCAACUUAAAACAUCAAAAUUUGAAGUCUUUGACAAAAUAGACUCCUCUAAGUAAUAAUCUAACUCCGACUUCGUAUGACUUUCUCCAAUGGUACUAUGAACACAUAAGUCAAACUUUGAAAGAGGAUCUUGUUCAUCAUAGUUUAACUCCAAAAUAGUUGAACCUAAUAAAGUACCAUAGGAUGAAGUUUUUUGCCCCAACUUAGACUUUGAUUGGUACUCAGAAAGCAACUCAUAACACAUUCCACAUAUUUUUUCUAUCUCAUUUGAAGCUUCAGACCCAUACAUUAGUGGAAAGUAAAACUCUAAAAUCUUUAUUAUAUCUUAGGUCAAAUAUAGUUGUUAUUGCCAUCAUAAUACGACACCCACUCCAAUACUUGUCAAACUUUUGCAAUAUACUUGAUGUCAUCGUUUUCACAACAUCAUUUGAGCAAAUAAACCAAUCAUACAAUGUCUCUUUGAUCUCACACACUUUGAUGAAGAAAGUAUUUGCAGUGGGAUAAUUUCAUCCUAAGAACAACUUUGUUAUGUUGUAAAACAAUUUCAAUCUUCCACAUAUUUCCUUUGUCAUAUUUCAUUCUUCCUCUGAUGGCACAACCAUGUAGCAUAUUUCACGUUGCUUCAAACAUGGGAACACAUCUUUAUAUGUUAUAGCAAUUGAUAACAUCAAGUAUGUGGAAUUCCAUCGUGUCUUACAAUCAAGACUUAACUUCUUAUUGCAUAGAAUACGCAAUUGGAAAGUUGCAUCUUCAAACUUUUCCAUUCUUGAUGGGGUUGCUAACCAAUAUGCAAAACUCUCACGAAUUUUUUCAAUUUCUACUUCAAUGACAUCCAAACCUUCCUUAGCAAUUAAGUUCAACACAUGUGUCGCACAUCGCAUGUGAAAAAAAUUUCCACUCAAUAAGAGUGAAUGCUCAAAGAUAAUUUUUCCACCAAGAUAUUGAUCAUUCCGUAAUUACUUGAGUAAUUAUCCACAGUGACUAUAGAUACUUCUCUAUCCAUAUUCCAAUCCAACAAGAAAUCCAUUAAUACAUCUGAAAGAACUUCUUUUGUGUGUGGAAGAGGUACAUAAACAAACCUACAUCAAGAAAAAAAAACAUAUCAUUAACACAAACAAUAUCAUUAAAUGAUCAAAUAAAAAAACAUUUUGGAAGUUAAAAAAAUAACAUAACUAACCUUACAAUAUGAUGUUGCAAUAACCAAGACUCAUCAAUGUAAUGUACAGUGAUAGUCAUGUAGCCUUUCUUUUGAUUUGAUGUCCACAUAUCAGUUGUGACAGCAACUCUACUUUGAAGUUUCUCUAAGUAGCUAAUCAUCUUAUCUUUCUCAACCUCAUAAAUCUUCAUUAUAUCACUUUUAAUCGUAUUGCGGGAAACCAUCUUAAACAAGGGUUGGAGGCUAGUAGCAAAAUCUCUAAACCCCACAUGGUCAACGAUUGAAAGUGGGUACUCAUGCAAUAUAAUUGCAUGUGCAAGCUUCUCUCUUGAGAUUUCUUUAUCAAAGGUAAAACCACCAAUUUGAACUUUUCCAUGACCUUUUCUCUCUACUACCAAUAAUUGUUGCCUAAUAUCAACAUUUCUUCAUUUCAUGCACCUAUCUAUGUGUACAUGUAAAUGUUUUGUCCCAUUCUUGCUAUUGGCCUUGAGUUUUCCUUUAUAGUGCUUACAAAUAGCAUAAUCUUGUCCAUCUUCUAUGAUUUUAUCAAAAUCAUUCCAAACAACCGAAGUCAACUUUCUUCUUUUAGAUCCCAAUGUUCCAUCAGUAGUUGAAGUACUGCCUGUAAUUGGAGUUAAACCCACGCUUGGCAUGGAAAAGUUUUCCCUUUCUUCUGAUGUCAUUUUUCUUAAUAUGAAAUAAAGUCUAUAAGUAAAACAUUCAAACCCAAAUUAAUAACACUUCAUUACCACAUAUUAAUUAGAUGGAUUUCAAAGCUCUUUUCCUAGUGUUGCCAAAAAAAAAAAAAAAACAAUGAGUUACACAGGCACUCGAACUGAGCACCUUGUGUAUGUUAUUUCUUUACUAUUGGGGUUUGGGACUUGACAACUACUAACUAGUUAGUUCCACAUGAGCAACAUGUUGAAAUCAGAGAAAAAAAAUUAGGAAAAAUACCACACCUUGUUGUCACCAGAUUACAGAUCUACAGUACGUUUGGACUCUCCAAAUUUUCUGAUUAAGUUGCAAUUACAAUGAUCCAAAUAAGAAGGACAAUCCCAAAUAUCUCAUCCAAAUCUCUCAUUUUUUUCCCUAGAAACUGACAAAGAAACACCCUAAACCAAACAAAUUAACAUUCAAAAAAAAUAUCAAACGUUCAAGACACAAAAAAUAAAACAAAUAAAUACAAAUCAACAAAGAAUCAUACCGGUUUGUAGAUACAUGAAGAUAUGAUUCCUAUGGAGAAAAUGGCAGUAGCGUAAACUGAUGAGACUGCUAGUAGUUGUGAAUAUGAGAUAAACAAGGAUGAAUCGAGAGUAGAUGGAGGAAAUGAGAUUAUUGAAUGGAUUUUCAAAUGGAUUAGCUGAUGGAUUUCUGCAUUAAGUGGGAAGAACAACCCUAGCGUCAAGAGGAACGAAAACCCUAAAACGAGAUAAGAAGACUUGAAAUGAUAAGAUGAAGCAAAUAUUUAUAGUUGGGGGGUAAAGUUGUAAUUUCAUAUUCGGGGCAGGGUGGGGCAGGUCAAAUUAUUACUAAACCCGAUCCCGCCUCGAACCCGAUUUGGGUUAAAAAAAAAAAAAACUGAACCCGGCCCAUCCUUGAUUUCUAUGUUCCCAUACCCAUUCUAAUAAGGGCAGGUGACCAGAAAAACCAGCAAAAUUGUCAUUCCUAAUGAUGAAUGACAAAGAACUCAGAAAAAAUAAAUGAAAAAAGAUGGAGAAAAAAUAAAAAAUACUCAAGGAAUCAUAAGAAAAAAAAACUAGUUUAUGCAUUAAGCUUUUGGAUAACAGAGGGAUUAGAUUAAGAGUCCGUUUGGCAGUGAUUUUUAAAAGUGUUUUUACCCUUAAAAACACUUUUAAGUGUUUUUGGGAUGAAAAUAAAGUGUUUGGCAAAUUUUAAAAAACACUUUUAAAAAUUUGGAAAAACACUUGAAGUGAUUUUUAGAGAAUCCCUUGACAAGUGUUUUUUUUUUAAAUUUUCCAAAAAUGCCCCCCCCCCCCGUGAUAAAUCAAUUAGAAAAAUCUUUUUUCUUUUUUAGAAAUUAAUAGGUGGUCAUAUAUUGUUUUACUUUUAAAAUUAUCUUUUAUUCAAUCUUUUUUUUUUUAUUGAUUUAGAUGUUUUUUGUAAAUAUUUUUUAAAAUUUUAGUAUAGUGAUAAAAAAUUAUUAUUUUUAAUUAGAAAAGUCUUUUUUUUUUUUAGAAAUUAAUAGGUAAUCAUAUAUUGUUUUAAUUUUGUUUUAAUUUUAAAAUUAUCUUUUAUUCAAUAUUAUUUUUUUAGUGAUUUAGAUGUUUUUUCAUUAAUAAAAAGUUUUUUUUGUUUAUCAUACCAUUUUUUUUAAUUAAAAUUGUAUGUCCUUUUAGGUAAUUUAUUAAUAUUAAAAGUGUUUUUAUAUUUAUACAAUAUAUUAUCAAAAACACUUUAGAAUCAUUUUUUCUGAUUAUCAUAAAAGUGUUUUUCACAUAAACACUAUAGCAGAAAACACUUCAAAUAAAAACACUUCCACUAGAAUCACUAUCAAACGGGCUCUAAAUCUUGAAAAGUAACAGUAAAAGAGGAACAAUUCACAUAAAAGAAGUAAAAAUUAUAAAUAAAAAAAAUUAAUAAUAAUAAUAAUAUAAAAAAAAAUCAUCUUAUUCCAAUAACAAAUUCUCAAAAACUAUUUUUAGUAUAAAAAACUAAUCAAACAAAUUUUUAAAAUUUAAAAACUAUUUUCUAUUUUCUCUUCUAAAAAGAAAAAAUUAUUUUAAAAAUAGUUAUUAGACAAAGCCUAACUCUUUCUCUUUUUUUAUCAUAAAAAAAUACAAAUAAAAAUUAAAUAAAAUGUUUUCACACACGUUCAUUCUAAGUAACAUAUUAAACCCGUUUUCAAUUUCACGAGUCGGAGAGUUUAAAAUCAAAAGUAAAAAUUAUUUUUUUACUACCACGUUUUAAGUAUUCUCAUUUUUUUAAAAUAGAAGCUAACGACCGACGCGGGCCUACUUGUACCUUAAAAACCUAUAUAGUUUGGAGCAUAUGAUAUGAGAUGUUCACAAGUUGUUUUUACUUUUUAUAGUGGAGGAAGAUUCCUUCAAAAAGAAAACGUACUCCUUUUUACUUCAAACUUGUAACCACUUGGACUAGUGCAUGCACUUGCUUUAACUUACCCUAUCAAAAUCCAAUUUUAAAUAUUCAGUAGCUUAACUUAUCAUUAGAUCAAACAAAGUUGUCAUUAAUUGAAAAUUUAAAAAUUAAAAAUUAAAAAAUAGAUAAAUAAAAGAGAAAAAAAAAAUCCUAUUGAAGUCUUAGUCAUUAGAUCAACAUAUUUCUACAGAAAAGAGAAAAGUCUUACAAGUUUGACUACAAAAAUUUUAAUAAGAUUUUUACUUUUAUUUCUAUUUUUUAAAAGAGAUUUAAAUUUAGGAAGCCGAAUAAAUUAAAAACGAUAAUACGAGUAAAUUUCUUUCACAAUAACAAGAUUCAUAAUACAAAUGAAAUUUGGUUGUGGUCUCAAAUACAACUCUAUUAAUAAAUAAUUAGCUUGCGUGGCUCAUGAGUGCGCACAACCUUAUCCACAAAUAUGGCUAAUUGGAUCAUAGGUAUCACGUGCGUUUGUACAACCAUCUUUGAAAUGUAAAUGGGAAUAAUGUCAAUGUACCUUCUCUAUUAAAAAUAUUAAAUAUCCAACUUGUAUGAUUUUAAACAAACACAUGCCCUUAUACAAACCUAUAUUUGAAAAACCGAAAUCCCUUGUGCCAAACCACAGCUCUCUCUCUCUAGGAGAAGAAUGGAAAUUGGCCAAGUCAUCGUGACCCAUCUGCUUAAAUCACAUCAUACAGAGUCAUGCUUACUAGUCUUCGAAUUGUUAACAUUAACCACAAUGUUUUAAGUUAGAUUUAAUUUCCCAUUUGACUGUAAUUAAGUUACAUCAACAUUGCAUGGAACAAUUCAAUGGAUUUGAAAGGACUAAUCAAUUGGCCUAAUCCUUCAAAAAGCAAACCUAAUCCUUUUUUCUUUAAACAAGUAACCACUUGGACUAAUACACUCAUUUGCUUUCAACUUAUCAUGAUAAAAUUCAAUUUUAAUACUUUGUGAUGUUGAUAUUACAUCUAACAAAGUUAUCAUUCCUUGCAAAAUAAUAAUAAUAUAAAUAAUAAAAUAGACAAAUAAAAGGAAAAAUCUUAUUGAACUAUACAUGCUUUUAUAAUUUUUAUAUGAUUAAAAUCGAAUUUCAUAUUUAAUGAUUAAGACAGUUUAACUCAAAAGUCUUUUAUGUUACUUCACUCCUAAACCUUUAAGGGGCUUUCAUACUACCAAUACUAAUUAAGUCUCAGUAACACUUGAACCUAACUAUAAGAAUGAAUUUAGUCAUCAUAUCUAUGGGAUUAUCCAUUAUAGGGAUUUUUUUUUCACUGCAAUAGCACCAUGUGCAAUCACAUUCCUAAUAAAAUAACAUGAAUAUGUUUUAUCCUCUUGUAGAACAUUUGAUUCUUGAUCAAAUGUAUAAUACUUUAGCUAUCACAAUACACAAUAGCCAACUCAUGUUGUAAACCUAAAUCGCCAACCAAACCCUUAAGCUAGCCAAAUAGCUUCUUUCACUACUUCUAUAGUUGCUAUGUAUUUUGCUUCUAUUAUUGACAAAGUAAUUUAAGAUUGUAAAGUUGUUUUUCAAUUAAUAACACUACAACAAAAAGUGAAUAUAUACCCUAUUGGAGACCUUCUAUCAAAAUUUCUAGCAUAUUAAGAAUCAACAUAACCAAUAAUUAUCCUAGAAACAUCACUACUUUUAAUAUAUACUAAACCAACAUAUGAUGUUCCUCUCGAGUAUCAAAAUAUCCAUUUCACUAUUUGUCAAUGAAUCCUUUCAGGGAGAUCUUUAUAUCUACUUAUCACAUUAACUGCAUGUGAAAUGUCUAACAUAGUGCAAACUAUAAUAUAAAUAAUGCUUUCAACUACACUAGCAUAAAUACCAUGUGGUAUUUGUUCUCCCUCUGCAUUGAUUUGUAAUUAUAAAGCACUUGAAAGUUCGAACUAAGCUAUCAGUGAAGUACUCACUAGUUUUUACUCUCACGUUCCAAAAUUAAAUGUUCCAACACCUUUUCAAUGUACUUUUUCGGACUAAAUACAUUUUUUGUGCUUCUCGGUCCUAUGAUUAUACUUAAUAUUUUCUUUGUAAUUAGAUAUUUCCUUUAUAAUAAUUGAAAACUCCUUCACACAAAUAUGUCUUGUUAUAAAAUUAUUAAUUUUUUUAAUUAACUUAAAAUAAAAUGUAUGUACAUUAAGGUUUUGAACUUGAUUUUGACAUCGGAGGCCUGUUUGGCCCUUCGGGCAUUAGGUAUCGACCUUUGCCCUAAUUCCUCGUCCAUUCUUUUAGGAUCAGCAAAGUACGAAACUCACAUGCCAUUAAUUGAAUGCUCAGAAUCCACCUCAUCUAGAUCCCAUGGGUUAGAGCAUGGCCUUCUAAACAUUGCUGUAGCAGUAAUUACUUGCACUAAAUGCAUUAGUGCAAGUAAACCACAACAGCAAUGUGGGCAUGCAAAUCCUGCCUUGUAAAUAUCCAUUCACAAAGUUUCAUUGUAUGUAACACGUUUUUAACAACUAAAAUAUUUUAUUUCUUUGUUUAUUUAGUAUUGGAGAUGAAAGGGAAGAUAGGAAGGACUAGAAUGGGGUACCUUCGAGAAUUCCAGUGAAAGUUUCAGAUUUUCCACGAUUUGGAGAUGAAGUAAUCCCAUGGAAAUGUUAAUGAAAAUUCUAAGGAAGAAAAAAAAAAGUGGGAAUUAAAGAAACGAGAAAAACAUCUCCUCUAUAAAAAAUUUUCCUUCCUUUCCAUGAACACGGCAUUGCGAUGGUACGACGUCAUCCACGCAUGGCCGCCUACCACGCACUGUGUUAUUUGACUUCGUUUGAUUAUUUUAAAAGAAUGAUUUGAGUGUCCCCAUGUUAGGGUUUUGAAGGCAUGAAGGUGGACAACCAAACACAGAGAAAAAGAAGAAAAAAAAUUCACCAUCGUUAUGUAAACUGAAAGAAAUUUCCGUACAUCCCAGAUUGAAUUUCAAGUUAUUUCACAAGGACACGUCUCUCGUUCCACUGCUCUAUAAAGACAGAAUCCACCUCGUAAUGGGUCUUAUCUCAAGCCAGGAAAGUUAGACAUCCAACUAUCCAAGGCACACUUCAACUACCACUCAAACUUCCUAUCGCAACCAACAUGUCCAUUUCUGUUAAGGCAACCGUUACCGUGAAAUUAACCAUUGGAGGCUUCCUGUCGAGCUUGGUUGGGUUGAGCCAUCGGCUCGAUGAUAUAUCAAGCUUGCUCGGUAAAUCACUCCGGUUAGAGCUUGUUAGUGCAGAUCUUGAUCCUAGUAAGUAUUUUAUCAUAACUGAUCGAUUUUACAUAUGAUAGUUUCGUUGAGUUCAUGAAUCCGAGUUCGAUUUAAAAGCCGGACAGCUGCAGUUUUCUGCAGGAAGAACUAUGCAAUUGCAAUAGCCUUGCUUUGCUGCAUGUUUUUUGCCCCCUGUUUUGUUAAUAUCAAACACAUUUUCAGUCAAGAAAAUAAAAUUUAAGCAGCAUGGAAAACGGGUGCGUCAUGAAGAUCAUGCGAAGGAGGUUUAGAGCCUUCCUGACCAUGUGUUGACCCCUUACUUUUUGUUUGUUUUCUGAGAAAGCAAAAUAGAACACCCAAGAAAAAUAACAUAGAUAUAUAAAAAGUGAAAGAAGAUACACAUGAGGCCCCAGAUAGCCAAGGUAUUGAAAAAUAACAUUUUCUGUUCCUGUUUCCAAUUUCUUUUAGUCCAAUUAUUUGGUUGAAUUCUUAAAUUUUAUCAGCGGAGUACUGACAAUUUUGUUAACGAUUUUGCAAAGAUACGGGAUUGGAGAAAAAACCGAUUGGCCGGUAUGCUCAUCGAGUAGGUCAAAAGGAUGGGGAGGCUAUUUACGAGUCAAAUUUUGAGAUUCCUGGUGAUUUUGGGGAGAUAGGUGCAGUUUUAGUGCAGAAUGAACUCCGCAAUGAGAUGUACCUCAAGUAUAUAGUCCUCAAUGGCCU
rnacentral:lncRNA from 1 species